AUGGAGCAUUAUUACAAAAGUGUUGCUAAUACUCCAAAUUGCCUUGUACUUCUAUACAAAUGUGUUCUUGUAGAAUUUAGUAAUGGUCUAUGUUCUGUUCUAUCUGUUAAACAAUUGAUUGAGCAAAGAGUUUUUGAUUUGGGGUUAACACCUUUUAGUAUAUACUAUAUUCAAAUGCAAUGUAAAGUAGUUGUUGUGAAGCAUUCAAUGUCUUCUGGUCUUGCAAUUUGUCGCAGAAGUACAAGCCUACUAUGGUAUGUUUCAAAUUUUGAGCUUGUUUUGGAGAUUUUGUUCUUCAAUGUCUUUUUAUCUUUUCUUUUUGGGGUACAUUCUUGCAAUUGA